UCCCUGGUGGCUCAGGUGGUAGAGAAUCUGCCUGCAGUGCAGUAGACCCUGGUUUGAUCCCUGGAUUGGGAA
rnacentral:tRNA from 1 species